CUUCCCAUCUGGGGUGGGGCCCUUCUGCUUGGCCAAGCCACUGAAUUGGCCAGGCUAGCAAGGGAGCAGACGAUCUUUCACAAGAAAAACGCAAGCACUUGCGUCUUCCAGUUGUUUAUUUUCCCCAAACAAGCAGCUCAAUUUGCUUGCAGCGUAUCCCGAAAGAGCUCUAGACCCCCGCCAUCCUCUCUCCAUAGUUCUUAACUGAAAGAAACUAGUAGACCAGGAUGGUGAAGGCUAUUGCAACAUCAUCAAGGAUUAAGAAAAUCAAGCUUCACUGAAUGGGAUGAUGAUAGCCUGUGUCUUCUCAAUUACUGUAAAAUGCACCCCAUCAGCCACUUGACUUUUCUGUCAACCAACAACUCUGUUUAGCACCUGGACUGGCAACUUCUUAUUUCCCCAGAGAAAAAAAAGCAGGGGCAAGAGUCACACUUCUGCUUUUUCUUUUUACAGCCACUUGCCUUUCUUCUUUUUUUACUGUAUUUGGUCUGACAUAAUAAAAAUGAGAGUCUGCUUUUCCAGACUGGACAUUUUGCCCCAUGUGGUGUGUAGUGUGACGGCCAUAUUGUUCCAGGCUGCCAUGACUGGUCUGUAGCUGCAACCAGCUUACCCAGAAGAUCAGUGAAAACAUGGAAAUUGAGGAUACCAAGUCUUAGCUGAUUACUUGUGAAAAGAAUGAGGCCACACAUGGUUUCCACAGCACACGGAGAACAACAUAGCAUAAUAAACAGUCGUGAUUUGCACAGCACAGUGGAUAUGAGUUUUAAUCACUAGAUGAGCAGAUGAAAAAUGGAUAGUCCCAACCAACCUUAAAGAAAAUUUGGAACUCUAACACACUGUUGA